UACGUAGGGGGCUAGCGUUGUCCGGAAUCAUUGGGCGUAAAGCGCGUGUAGGCGGCCCGGUAAGUCCGCUGUGAAAACUCGGGGCUUAACCCCGAGCCUGCAGUGGAUACGGGCAGACUAGAGGUAGGUAGGGGAGAAUGGAAUUCCCGGUGUAGCGGUGAAAUGCGCAGAUAUCGGGAGGAACACCGGUGGCGAAGGCGGUUCUCUGGGCCUUACCUGACGCUGAGGAGCGAAAGCGUGGGGAGCGAACAGG
rnacentral:rRNA from 1 species